GGGGCGGUGCGCGUGCUUACACAUGCAGUCGAACGAAGCAGCGGCGCGGAACCCCUCCGGGGAGGAAGCGCUGCCCUUUGAGUGGCGGACGGGUGAGUAACGCGUGGGUAACCCCCCCCAUACAGGGGGAUAACAGCUGGAAACGGCUGCUAAUACCGCAUAAUCCUGCGGGGCCGCAUGGCCCUGCAUGCAAAGCUUUGGCGGUAUGGGAUGGGCCCGCGUCUGAUUAGGCAGUUGGCGGGGUAACGGCCCACCAAACCGACGAUCAGUAGCCGGCCUGAGAGGGCGACCGGCCACAUUGGGACUGAGACACGGCCCAAACUCCUACGGGAGGCAGCAGUGGGGAAUAUUGCACAAUGGGGGGAACCCUGAUGCAGCGACGCCGCGUGGGUGAAGAAGUAUUUCGGUAUGUAAAGCCCUGUCAGCAGGGAAGAAGAAUGACGGUACCUGACCAAGAAGCACCGGCUAAAUACGUGCCAGCAGCCGCGGUAAUACGUAUGGUGCAAGCGUUAUCCGGAUUUACUGGGUGUAAAGGGAGCGCAGGCGGCGCGUUAAGUCUGAUGUGAAAACCCGCGGCUCAACUGCGGGACUGCAUUGGAAACUGGCGGGCUUGAGUGCCGGAGAGGCAAGCGGAAUUCCUAGUGUAGCGGUGAAAUGCGUAGAUAUUAGGAGGAACACCAGUGGCGAGGGCGGCUUGCUGGACGGUAACUGACGCUGAGGCUCGAAAGCGUGGGGAGCAAACAGGAUUAGAUACCCUGGUACUCCACGCCGUACACGAUGAAUACUAGGUGUCGGGCGCC
rnacentral:rRNA from 1 species